UGUGCUAAUGAUGACAAACUAGACAGGGACAUCAGAUCUCCUAAUUAGAGAAAAUGCUGAUUUGUCUGUGGGAAUCUCUCUGAUGCACA
rfam:Medicago truncatula strain A17 chromosome 4, whole genome shotgun sequence.